rnacentral:rRNA from 1 species
UUACGCUGUUAUCCCUAAGGUAAUUUAGUCUUAUAAUCACUAAAAAUGGAUCAAAAUAUUACAAAUAAGUAUUUCACAAUAAAAAGAGUUUUUCUUAUCUUCCUAUCACCCCAACAAAAAAAUUAAAUUUAUAAAAAUAAAAUCAAACUAAAAAUAAAAAUAAAAAUUUUUAAACUCUAUAGGGUCUUCUCGUCCCAUAACUUUAUUUAAGCUUUUUUACUUAAUAAUUAAAUUCUAAUUUAAAUUAAUAAGACAGUCUUUGUCUCGUCCAACCAUUCAUUCCAGCCUCUAAUUAAGAGACUAAUGAUUAUGCUACCUUUGCACGGUCAAAUUACCGCGGCCCUUCAAUUAAUAUCAGUGGGCAGGUUAUACUUAUAUAUAGCAAAAGAGAUGUUUUUGUUAAACAGGCG